UGACUUGCCAUUUCAGUCAUGUC
rnacentral:siRNA from 1 species